UUGUUGAAAAAAAAACAAAAAGAACCAAAAAGGAAAAAAAAAACACGGAAAAGGAAGAGAAAAGAAGAAGACACGACCAAUCCUUUCUCCGACGUAAUUGUAUGUGACUCACGACCAUGAUUAGAUUGGUGGAGAUUAAUAUACCCGUCGAUUUUGUGCAUGCUCCAAAACGAAUAUCCUGAAAAUCUUUCCCACGAGACUCAUUAGUCUCUUUAUUAUCUAAGGUAAUUUAAAAGAAUAGUUUGUUUGAUUGGUUGCAAUUGUAGGAUGCAAGAUCAUAUCAAUAUGAUGGUUUAAAGAAAAAAGAUGGCCAAUAUGAUGGUUUUCUAUGAUGAUUCAACAGAUCAAAAGGUGGUUUUCUAUCAUUAAAUUGCCAAAUUUCUGUUAUUGCUAUGAAUAUAUGUUUUAUGGUAGGGUAACAAGUUCUUGGUGGUCAUUGGAUGUUCUUGGUCGAACGAUAAACCGUCA
rnacentral:lncRNA from 1 species